ensembl:lncRNA
AAUCAUUCAAGCUUGCGUUUUUUUAGCCUCUUAUUAAGAAACCAUGUUUGCUGUUUCAAAGUCAUGGCACUGAAACGUUGUGGACAACAAUAGGUGUUUGCGACUUAAAACAUCUGUCUGAAAAGUGCAAGCGACAUGAAAGUAGCCGAAGUCAUCUUGACAACGCUAUGAGGCUCCAGUUUUUUGGGAAACUUAGCAUUGCUGAACAGCUAGAUGAAGGCCACAGGAUUGGCAUUAGAAGUCACAAUGAAGAGGCCACAAAAAAUAGACAUAUCCUGUCUAGAAUAAUAGACUGUGUGAAAUUUUGUGGCGUGUUUGAGCUGGCUUUGCGUGGCCAUGAUAAGAGCAAGACGUCAGACAAUCCCGGGAUAUUCCGUGGCCUGGUCGAUUUUGUUGCUUCUCUUGAUGUAAUUUUGAAAGAGCACCUCGAGAAUGCCACUGUGUUUAAGGGAACUUCGAAAACCGUGCAGAACGAGCUGUUGGACUGUAUGUUGUCUGUUGUUAGGGAGCACAUAAUCCAAGAAGCACAGAGCAGCAACUUUCUCUCAAUCCAGGCCGACGAGACCACCGAUAUUGCCACACAGUGUCAACUUGUGCUGCGGUACAUUGACGCUAAAAGCAACGUACAGGAAAGGUUUUUUGAGUUUAUUCCUCUGCGUUCAACUACAGCUGAUUCCAUCGCUAUAGGACUAAAAGAGCGUUUUGCUGUUAUCCUUCCAGAGGAUCAGAAGAAUAAACUCAAUCUUCCAUCCUUCGGAUGAGACGUUAAACCGAGGUCCUGACUCUCUGUGGUCAUUAAAAAUCCCAGGAUGUCUUUCGAAAAGAGUUGUGACCUCGCCAUCCUGGCUAAAUUCGCCCAUUGGCCUCUGACCAUCAUGGCCUCCUAACAAUCCCCAUAUCUGCUGAUUGGCUUCAUCACUCUGUCUCCUCUCCACCAGUAAGCUGGUGUGUGGUGGGCGUUCAGGCGCAAUAUGGCUGCCGUCGCAUCAUCCAGGUGGAUGCUGCACACUGGUGGUGGAUGAGGAGAUACCCCCUCACAAUGUAGAGCGCUUUGAGUGCCUAGAAAAGCGCUAUAUAAAUGUAAGGAAUUAUUAUUAUUCAUUAAUCUCCCAAGCAUAUGAUGGAGCCAGCGUGAUGAGGGGUGCCACUGCAGGUGUUCAAAGGAAGAUGCAAGAUGUGUACCCAAAUGGCCAUUACAUCUACUGCUAUGCACAUCAGCUCAAUCUGAUAAUGCAACAGGCCACUUCUCACAUACCCAAAGUGAGAAUUAUUAUUUUUUUGACCUUGGAGGAUUUGCCAGCUUUUUCUCAAGAUCACCCAAGCGCACCGAUGUCCUUGAUAAAGUAGUUGCCCAUAGACUACCAACAUCAAGCAGAGUCAGAUGGAACUUCCACAGCCGUGCCAUCAAUUCAGUGUUUGAGCACAGAGAGGACCUUAUCCGCUGUUUUCAAACUAUACAAGACUCCGGUGACCUUGACCCUGUUACCGUCAGAGAGGCAGGAGCCUUUGCCAUGCUGCUGGAGGAUCAGGAUUUUAAGUUUUUUCUGCAACUUUUCCACAACAUCAUGCCACAUGUGGACCUUCUCUAUGCCAAACUCCAGAAGAAGGACAUAGAUUCAGUCCGCAUCAGGGGGAGCAUCCAGCAGUUCCAGCAGGACAUACAGAAGAUCAGGUAGCAGCUGUAUUCCUUGUUUUGCAUUUAUUAUUAUUAUUAUUAUUAUUGAUACAUUUUCUUAUUCAGUUACAGAAAUUCUCUCCAUUCCCUGGUUGACCAAAGCAGUGAAGGUGGUUUUCAAACCGAAGAGGCUGCGGUCACUCAGUCCAGAGGUCCAUGAACGGAUUGCAGCAGAAGUGAGUUUUUAUUGCAGUCAAAAAAAAAACAUCUCCAACAAGUUAAACUGCAUUGUUUAUUUAUCAUUAUAUGGGUACUUGUAAAUGUCUUUGAUUUUAUAAAAGAAAUUGAUUAAGUAUUGUAGCAAAGAGUAUAUCCUUAAGAUAAAGAAACCUUUAAAUAAUAUAAAUGAAUAUAAAUAAUUAUAAUAACUUGCCCAUUGGUUUUGAUAACUUUACUAUGAGAGGAUUACUAUUCCAUGUUUGUGGGAUCAAUGUGAGGAGCAAUAAUUUUGUAGUCACCAAAGACAAUUACCCACGGAAGGUAAAUGAAACAAUGCAGUCUUUAAACUGAUCUUAAAGGAUUUGUUAUACUUUGGUUUCCUCUUGUGGACAACAUUAGUAUUACAGCC